CCUACGGGUGGCAGCAGUGAGGACUAUUGGUCAAUGGGCGUAAGCCUGAACCAGCCAAGUAGCGUGAGGGAUGAAGGUUCUAUGGAUUGUAAACCUCUUUUAUAAGGGAAUAAAGUGCGGCACGUGUGCCGUUUUGUAUGUACCUUAUGAAUAAGGAUCGGCUAACUCCGUGCCAGCAGCCGCGGUAAUACGGAGGAUCCGAGCGUUAUCCGGAUUUAUUGGGUUUACAGGGUGCGUAGACGGGUUUUUAAGUCAGUGGUGAAAGUCUGUGGCUCAACCAUAGAAUUUCCGUUGAGACUGGGAGUCUUGAGGAUGUUUGAGGUAGGCGGAAUGCGUGGUGUAGCGGUGAAAUGCUUAGAUAUCACGCAGAACCACGAUUGCGAAGGCAGCCUGCCAAGCCAUGACUGACGCUGAUGCACGAAAGCGUGGGGAUCAAACAGGAUUAGAUACCCCAGUAGUC
rnacentral:rRNA from 1 species